ACAUUAUUUUUUGAGGCCAAGGAUAACACCAAAGUUCUUGAAUUGAAAUACAUGAUAGCGUCCCUUUUGAAAGUCCGGCCUCUCAAUCAGCAAUUAUACACUAAAAAUAAUGUGCUUAUGUUCAAUUCUGACGAGUUGAAGGAAUAUGGGAUCAUUUCUUCAACUGCGACGCCACAAGAACCAGCCCAAUUAGGUCUGGUUUUAAGAAACUCGGAGGGGGACUUCGAACCUGUUGAAAUCGAACCAUAUUCAACGCCACCACCCAUGCCUAUUGUUGGCUCCAAAGAGCAUGACUGAGAGGGUAAAAAUACCUUUUAAUCCACAUAGCAGUUUAAAACUACAAAUGUUCCUAGUUUCUUCAUUAAAAACGCAAAAUCAUCCUGGUGGCCACAAUUGAGCGGAAGUGAGACCAUCCCCCGUAUCUCUAAAGGAUAGCAGUUUAACAACUUUUAGAAAAGCAGGAAAACUUUUGAACCGGGCUCUACUAUUAUUUAUACUUCCAGAUGUCUAGCAUUACAAUUUUCAUAAAUUUUAUAACACCUGUAAAGUGAGAUUUAUGCCAAAGUUAUAGGUCUCUAGAGGAUAACAGCAUUACAACUUUUAUUGUCUAGCUGGUGAUCGAUUUAGUACAUUUCAGCACAUUAAAAAUUCAAUAUGGAAAACAUA